GAUGAACGCUAGCGGCAGGCCUAACACAUGCAAGUCGAGGGAGAAGCCCUUUCGGGGGCAGAAACCGGCGCACGGGUGCGUAACGCGUAUGCAACCUACCUUUCACAGGGGGAUAGCCCGAAGAAAUUUGGAUUAAUACCCCAUAAUAUUAUUGGAUGGCAUCAUUUGAUAAUUAAAACUGCGGUGGUGAAAGAUGGGCAUGCGUCCUAUUAGCUAGUUGGAGUGGUAACGGCACCCCAAGGCUACGAUAGGUAGGGGUCCUGAGAGGGAGAUCCCCCACACUGGUACUGAGACAGGGACCAGACCCUACGGGAGGCAGCAGUGAGGAAUAUUGGUCAAUGGUCGGAAGACUGAACCAGCCAUGCCGCGUGCAGGAAGAAUGCCUUAUGGGUUGUAAACUGCUUUUAUAUGGGAAGAAUAAGGCGUACGUGUACGUUGAUGACGGUACCAUAUGAAUAAGCAUCGGCUAACUCCGUG
rnacentral:rRNA from 1 species